AGGAGGAAGUCACUUCGCUCUGCUAGUUUUAGUGGACAGGACCCUUUAUCAAUAUUAACCCAGACUCCUUGAUCAAAUUUGACCUGUAACCACAGGAGUGUUGGGAUGUGUGUAAGAGAAAACAAGUUUUAUUUUCCUCAUUGGCAUAUCUAAUACAUUUUUUUUGUGUUUUGUAGUUUGUAGUAUUUCAAACAGACUCACCGUCCAUAGUGAGCGUGGCAGAGCAGGAGGCGGUGCCGGCGUUGUUAGUGGCGAUGCAGGUGUACUCGCCCUCGUCCUCGGGGUAAACUCUGGAGAUCUCCAGCUGGCAGCUGUCGUCAAACUGAGACAUCCUGAAGAAGUCCGACUGCUUGAUCUCCUUCUCUCUGUGGAACCAGCUGAUCCUCACAUCUGAGCAGAGGAGGAGAAAAGGAGCAGGUGCUGACACCUCUUCAGUGCCACCAUGCAUCUAAAAACAGUCAUUUCCUCUGGACCACAACCCUCCUGUGAGAGCUUUGAGUGAACCAGAGCAGCUGAAUCAGACGCUGUGACUCACUUUAAAACCUCCUAAGUAUGAAGCUGAUACUUCACAGCACUGAUUUGUUUAUUAAAUCACAGCGUGUCGUUCUUACCGUCUCCACGGACUCUGCACUGGAAGCGAGCUGGCUCUCCCUCGCGGGUGGAGGUACUGGUGAUGGGUGAGAUGACGACAGGCGGGGCGACAGUAGCAGCCGAGUCCGGAGACACCACCUCUGACACUAAAACACACACACAAAUGCCUGUUUCUGCACAUGUCCUGGUGUUGAUGUUGAAUGUUUCCCGUGUCUGACGUUCUGUCUUACCUUCCACGUUGAGGGAGGCGGUGCUGGUGGCGGAGCCGUACUCAUUCUUGGCCUCGCAGUUGUAGACGGCAGCGUCUUCAGGGAACACUUCGAUCAGCAGCAGCGAGUGAUCGUUCCCGUCGCGGAGGAACUUGCACUUGAAGCCUGGUGACAGAGCCUGGGAGUUUUUGUACCAGAAGACCUGAGGCUGAGGGACGCCGCUCACCUGCACGGAGAAGCGAGCGGGUUUACCUGCCUCCACUGACUGAGGCUCCAUGUGACGGAGGAUCUGAGGAGGCUCCGGGACUGAAGGAGGGAGAAGAGACAGCUGUUCAUUUCAAGUUUAUGAUGUUAAACUUUUAUGACCAGCAGAUGUCGCCAACUAGAGAAAAUCAAACAUCUUGAACUAGUUAGAAAACCUCUACAGAGUGAUCAAUACUGAGAAGCUGAGAGGUGUACUCUCCGGCGUCACUCCUGAAGGUCUCAGAGAUGGUGAGGCGGUGCAGCUUCCUGAUGGUGACAUAGUUGAACCUCUCCUCCAUGGAGAACUGGAUCUCCACCCCAUUCCUCAUCCAGCGACCCUCCACGUCGUCCUCGUUAACCUCAAACUCAAACGUUGCUCUGUGUCGCUCCAGAACCUGAGAGAGGAGGAGGAGAAUGAGUCUCAGAAGUGAUCAGUGAUGUGGUUUUGAUCUUGUUUUUUAUCCUGUUCCCUGACUCUCAGAGAAACUCUCGUGCAUGUUCAUAAUUUACAUCUUUAACAUCAAACAUUUCCUCAUUUCAAAUCGUCCUGGUCAUCAUUUAACAAAGUGAGAUACGUCCACAUGUGAAUCUUUAAAGGAGGCUUUAAAAAGUCUCUCACCGUGAUCUCGCGCUCAGCAGACUCAGAGAUGCGGAUGUCUCGACCCUCCACGAUCAGGUGAGCUUUGGACAUGCUGGAUCCGGCCACCACAGAAUACUCUCCAGCAUCGGACAUCCGAACGGUCUGGAUCAUGAGACGGUGGACGUACUUCUCUGCUGUCACGAUGAACCUGAACACAGCAUAGAUCACCUGUUAGCUCUGAAUGCUUCUGUUAGUGUGAGGUAGAGAGGACGGAUAAUGAACACACCUGUCCUGAGUCAUGUCCAGCUCCUGCCCGUCCUUCAUCCACAUCACCUGGAUGUUGGGCUCAGAAACCUCGCACUCAAAGAUGGCCUUCUUCUUCUCUGUGAUCUUUAUGUCUUUGAUUUUCUUGGUGAACUCGAUCAGACGAGCUGGAAACAGAACAGAAAGAACGACAGAGGUUUUAUUAAAGAAGAGGAUAAUCUGACACUCCUGUAGUAGAAUCAUCAGAUUAUCACCUGACUAUAAUAACGUCUCAAAUAUUCAGUCACUGUUUUCAGAGCGUAUUAAACAACUUCCCCUGACUCUGUUUGUCUGACACGA